GAUGAACGCUGGCGGCGUGCCUAACACAUGCAAGUCGAGCGGACAGACGAGGCGCUUUCUCGUCUGACGUUAGCGGCGGACGAGUGAUUAAUACGUGGAUAACCUACCUCUAAGACUGGGAUAACUACGGGAAACCGGAGUUAAUACCGGAUGAUAUAUUGAACCGCAUGGUUCAUUGGUCUAAGACGGUUUUGCUUUCGCUUAUGGAUGGAUCCGCGUCGCAUUAGCUAGUUGGUAAGGUAACGGCUUACCAAGGCAACGAUGCGUAGCCGACCUGAGAGGGUGAUCGGCCACACUGGAACUGAGACACGGUCCAGACUCCUACGGGAGGCAGCAGUAGGGAAUCUUCCGCAAUGGGCGAAAGCCUGAUGGAGCAACGCCGCGUGGGUGAUGAAGGUCUUCGGAUCGUAAAGCUCUUUUAUUGGGGAAGAAGGAAUGUGUAAUUAUCUAUGCAUGUCUUGACGGUACCUAAUGAGAAAGCCCCGGCUAACUACGUG
rnacentral:rRNA from 1 species